rnacentral:rRNA from 1 species
UACGGAGGGUGCAAGCGUUAUCCGGAUUCACUGGGUUUAAAGGGUGCGUAGGUGGGUUGGUAAGUCAGUGGUGAAUUCUCCAGGCUUAACUUGGAAACUGCCAUUGAUACUAUCAAUCUUGAAUACCGUGGAGAUGAGCGGAAUAUGUCAUGUAGCGGUGAAAUGCUUAGAUAUGACAUAGAACACCAAUUGCGAAGGCAGCUCGUUACACGAAUAUUGACACUGAUGUACGAAAGCGUGGGGAGCAAACAGG